GGUUAAGCGACUAAGCGUACACGGUGGAUGCCCUGGCAGUCAGAGGCGAUGAAGGACGUGCUAAUCUGCGAUAAGCGUCGGUAAGGUGAUAUGAACCGUUAUAACCGGCGAUUUCCGAAUGGGGAAACCCAGUGUGAUUCGUCACACUAUCAUUAACUGAAUCCAUAGGUUAAUGAGGCGAACCGGGGGAACUGAAACAUCUAAGUACCCCGAGGAAAAGAAAUCAACCGAGAUUCCCCCAGUAGCGGCGAGCGAACGGGGAGCAGCCCAGAGCCUGAAUCAGUGUGUGUGUUAGUGGAAGCGUCUGGAAAGGCGCGCGAUACAGGGUGACAGCCCCGUACACAAAAAUGCACAUGCUGUGAGCUCGAUGAGUAGGGCGGGACACGUGGUAUCCUGUCUGAAUAUGGGGGGACCAUCCUCCAAGGCUAAAUACUCCUGACUGACCGAUAGUGAACCAGUACCGUGAGGGAAAGGCGAAAAGAACCCCGGCGAGGGGAGUGAAAAAGAACCUGAAACCGUGUACGUACAAGCAGUGGGAGCACAGAGCAAUCUGUGUGACUGCGUACCUUUUGUAUAAUGGGUCAGCGACUUAUAUUCUGUAGCAAGGUUAACCGAAUAGGGGAGCCGAAGGGAAACCGAGUCUUAACUGGGCGUUAAGUUGCAGGGUAUAGACCCGAAACCCGGUGAUCUAGCCAUGGGCAGGUUGAAGGUUGGGUAACACUAACUGGAGGACCGAACCGACUAAUGUUGAAAAAUUAGCGGAUGACUUGUGGCUGGGGGUGAAAGGCCAAUCAAACCGGGAGAUAGCUGGUUCUCCCCGAAAGCUAUUUAGGUAGCGCCUCGUGAAUUCAUCUCCGGGGGUAGAGCACUGUUUCGGCAAGGGGGUCAUCCCGACUUACCAACCCGAUGCAAACUGCGAAUACCGGAGAAUGUUAUCACGGGAGACACACGGCGGGUGCUAACGUCCGUCGUGAAGAGGGAAACAACCCAGACCGCCAGCUAAGGUCCCAAAGUCAUGGUUAAGUGGGAAACGAUGUGGGAAGGCCCAGACAGCCAGGAUGUUGGCUUAGAAGCAGCCAUCAUUUAAAGAAAGCGUAAUAGCUCACUGGUCGAGUCGGCCUGCGCGGAAGAUGUAACGGGGCUAAACCAUGCACCGAAGCUGCGGCAGCGACGCUUAUGCGUUGUUGGGUAGGGGAGCGUUCUGUAAGCCUGUGAAGGUGUACUGUGAGGUAUGCUGGAGGUAUCAGAAGUGCGAAUGCUGACAUAAGUAACGAUAAAGCGGGUGAAAAGCCCGCUCGCCGGAAGACCAAGGGUUCCUGUCCAACGUUAAUCGGGGCAGGGUGAGUCGACCCCUAAGGCGAGGCCGAAAGGCGUAGUCGAUGGGAAACAGGUUAAUAUUCCUGUACUUGGUGUUACUGCGAAGGGGGGACGGAGAAGGCUAUGUUGGCCGGGCGACGGUUGUCCCGGUUUAAGCGUGUAGGCUGGUUUUCCAGGCAAAUCCGGAAAAUCAAGGCUGAGGCGUGAUGACGAGGCACUACGGUGCUGAAGCAACAAAUGCCCUGCUUCCAGGAAAAGCCUCUAAGCAUCAGGUAACAUCAAAUCGUACCCCAAACCGACACAGGUGGUCAGGUAGAGAAUACCAAGGCGCUUGAGAGAACUCGGGUGAAGGAACUAGGCAAAAUGGUGCCGUAACUUCGGGAGAAGGCACGCUGAUAUGUAGGUGAAGUCCCUCGCGGAUGGAGCUGAAAUCAGUCGAAGAUACCAGCUGGCUGCAACUGUUUAUUAAAAACACAGCACUGUGCAAACACGAAAGUGGACGUAUACGGUGUGACGCCUGCCCGGUGCCGGAAGGUUAAUUGAUGGGGUUAGCGCAAGCGAAGCUCUUGAUCGAAGCCCCGGUAAACGGCGGCCGUAACUAUAACGGUCCUAAGGUAGCGAAAUUCCUUGUCGGGUAAGUUCCGACCUGCACGAAUGGCGUAAUGAUGGCCAGGCUGUCUCCACCCGAGACUCAGUGAAAUUGAACUCGCUGUGAAGAUGCAGUGUACCCGCGGCAAGACGGAAAGACCCCGUGAACCUUUACUAUAGCUUGACACUGAACAUUGAGCCUUGAUGUGUAGGAUAGGUGGGAGGCUUUGAAGUGUGGACGCCAGUCUGCAUGGAGCCGACCUUGAAAUACCACCCUUUAAUGUUUGAUGUUCUAACGUGGACCCGUAAUCCGGGUUGCGGACAGUGUCUGGUGGGUAGUUUGACUGGGGCGGUCUCCUCCUAAAGAGUAACGGAGGAGCACGAAGGUUGGCUAAUCCUGGUCGGACAUCAGGAGGUUAGUGCAAUGGCAUAAGCCAGCUUGACUGCGAGCGUGACGGCGCGAGCAGGUGCGAAAGCAGGUCAUAGUGAUCCGGUGGUUCUGAAUGGAAGGGCCAUCGCUCAACGGAUAAAAGGUACUCCGGGGAUAACAGGCUGAUACCGCCCAAGAGUUCAUAUCGACGGCGGUGUUUGGCACCUCGAUGUCGGCUCAUCACAUCCUGGGGCUGAAGUAGGUCCCAAGGGUAUGGCUGUUCGCCAUUUAAAGUGGUACGCGAGCUGGGUUUAGAACGUCGUGAGACAGUUCGGUCCCUAUCUGCCGUGGGCGCUGGAGAACUGAGGGGGGCUGCUCCUAGUACGAGAGGACCGGAGUGGACGCAUCACUGGUGUUCGGGUUGUCAUGCCAAUGGCACUGCCCGGUAGCUAAAUGCGGAAGAGAUAAGUGCUGAAAGCAUCUAAGCACGAAACUUGCCCCGAGAUGAGUUCUCCCUGACUCCUUGAGAGUCCUGAAGGAACGUUGAAGACGACGACGUUGAUAGGCCGGGUGUGUAAGCGCAGCGAUGCGUUGAGCUAACCGGUACUAAUGAACCGUGAGGCUUAACCUU
rnacentral:rRNA from 1 species